rnacentral:rRNA from 1 species
AAGCGUUGUUCGGAAUUAUUGGGCGUAAAGGGCGUGUAGGCGGUUCGUUAAGUCUGAUGUGAAAGCCCUGGGCUCAACCUGGGAAGUGCAUUGGAAACUGGCGAACUUGAGUACGGGAGAGGGCAGUGGAAUUCCUAGUGUAGGAGUGAAAUCCGUAGAUAUUAGGAGGAACACCGGUGGCGAAGGCGGCUGCCUGGACCGAUACUGACGCUGAGACGCGAAAGCGUGGGGAGCAAACAGGAUUAGAUACCCUGGUAGUCCACGCCGUAAACGAUGAGUACUAGGUGUUGCGGGUAUUGACCCCUGCAGUGCC